GUCUGAAGAGACUGCAAGACUUGAGAUCGGGUGAGGUUAAACGUACUUUCAGGGUAGGGGUAAAAUCCUGUAAUCCCGGAAGGACGACCAGUGGCGAAAGCGUUUAACUAGAACGAAUCUGACGGUAAGGAACGAAGGCUAGGGUAGCAAACCGGAUUAGAUACCCGGGGUAGUCUAGCUGUAAACAUUGCCCAUUUGAUGUUGCUUUCCCGUUGAGGGAAGGCAGUGUCGGACCGAAGGUGUUAAAUGGGCCGCCUUGGGAAGUAUGGUCGCAAGACUGAAACUUAAAGGAAUUGGCGGGGGAGCACCGCAACGGGAGGAAUGUGCGGUUUAAUUGGAUUCAACGCCGGAAAACUCACCGGGAACGACCUGUGCAUGAGAGUCAACUUGACGAGCUUACUCGAUAGCAGGAGAGGUGGUGCAUGGCCGUCGUCAGCUCGUACCGUAGGGCGUUCACUUAAGUGUGAUAACGAGCGAGACCCACAUCUUUAAUUGCAAAUGUAUAUGGGAAUAUGCAUGCACUUUAGAGAAACCGCCAGCGCUAAGCUGGAGGAAGGAGUGGUCGACGGCAGGUCAGUACGCCCCGAAUUUCCCGGGCUACACGCGCAUUACAAAGAACGGGACAAUACGUUGCAACAUCGAAAGAGGGAGCCAAUCGCGAUACCCGUCCAUAGUUA
rnacentral:rRNA from 1 species